UACGGAGGGGGCUAGCGUUGUUCGGAAUUACUGGGCGUAAAGCGCACGUAGGCGGCUUUGUAAGUUAGAGGUGAAAGCCCAGGGCUUAACCCUGGAAUUGCCUUUAAGACUGCAUCGCUAGAAUCGUGGAGAGGUGAGUGGAAUUCCGAGUGUAGAGGUGAAAUUCGUAGAUAUUCGGAAGAACACCAGUGGCGAAGGCGACUCACUGGACACGUAUUGACGCGUGAGGUGCGAAAGCGUGGGAGCAAACAGG
rnacentral:rRNA from 1 species